rnacentral:rRNA from 1 species
ACGAACGCUGGCGGCGUGCUUAACCCAUGCAAGUCGAACGGAAAGGCCCUGCUUUUGUGGGGUGCUCGAGUGGCGAACGGGUGAGUAACACGUGAGUAACCUGCCCUUGACUUUGGGAUAACUUCAGGAAACUGGGGCUAAUACCGGAUAGGAGCCCCUGCCGCAUGGUGGGGGUUGGAAAGGUUCGGCGGUUGGGGAUGGACUCGCGGCUUAUCAGCUUGUUGGUGGGGUAGUGGCUUACCAAGGCUUUGACGGGUAGCCGGCCUGAGAGGGUGACCGGCCACAUUGGGACUGAGAUACGGCCCAGACUCCUACGGGAGGCAGCAGUGGGGAAUAUUGCACAAUGGGCGGAAGCCUGAUGCAGCAACGCCGCGUGCGGGAUGACGGCCUUCGGGUUGUAAACCGCUUUCGCCUGUGACGAAGCGUGAGUGACGGUAAUGGGUAAAGAAGCACCGGCUAACUACGUG